CUGACGUUGUCCGGAAAACAGGGAAGCUUGGCAACAAAUGCUUCUCCAAUGUCUAGAGUCUGAAGGUCUGUCUUCACAGUAACUUGGUAGUGAUACAUACCCUACCUGGCAUUCAAUGUUGGAGUGAACGAUUCAUUUAGGAUCUUUGUUCUACUAAACGUGCUUCAAAAUUGAACAAGGGUCUGAAGAUGGAGGUUUGGGUGAUGAAGAAAGGCGCACGUGUUUUGCUCUUCUUCGCCGCGCUGGUUGCAAUGGUGAUUGUCAUCAGUUUCAGCUACGUCUCACUGCAGACAACCGUCAAAUAUGCCCACG